rnacentral:rRNA from 1 species
GCCGAGGAUCUAUUGGAGGGCAAGUCUGGUGCCAGCAGCCGCGGUAAUUCCAGCUCCAAUAGCGUAUAUUAAAGUUGUUGCGGUUAAAAAGCUCGUAGUUGGAUCUCGGUUUCACUCAGGCGGUACACCUUGCGGUGUUCACUGUCUGGGCGGACGUUUCUGUUGGUUCGCUGUUGGUUCUCUUAAUCGAGUGCCAAUUGGUGGCCAGCACGUUUACUUUGAAAAAAUUGGAGUGCUCAAAGCAGGCGUUACAGCCUGAACAUUAGUGCAUGGAAUAAUGGAAUAGGAUCUCGAUUCUAUUUCGUUGGCUUUCGGAGUCGAGGUAAUGAUUAAUAGGGACAGACGGGGGCAUUCGUACUGCGACGUUAGAGGUGAAAUUCUUGGAUCGUCGCAAGACGAACUACUGCGAAAGCAUUUGCCAAGAAUGUUUUCAUUAAUCAAGAACGAAAGUUAGAGGUUUGAAGGCGAUCAGAUACCGCCCUAGUUCUAACCAUAAACGAUGCCAACCGGCGAUCCGUCGUCGUUAAUUGAAUGACUCGACGGGCAGCCUCCGGGAAACCAGGGUGUUUGGGUUCCGGGGGAAGUAUGGUUGCAAAGCUGAAACUUAAAGGAAUUGACGGAAGGGCACCACCAGGAGUGGAGCCUGCGGCUUAAUUUGACCCAACACGGGAAAUCUCACCAGGCCCGGACACCGGAAGGAUUGACAGAUUGAGAGCUCUUUCUUGAUUCGGUGGGUGGUGGUGCAUGGCCGUUCUUAGUUGGUGGAGCGAUUUGUCUGGUUAAUUCCGAUAACGAACGAGACUCUGGCCUACUAACUAGAAGGGUCGUUCUUUACGAGCGGCCCUCUGCUUCUUAGAGGGACGGGCGGCGUUUAGCCGCACGAGAAUGAGCAAUAACAGGUCUGUGAUGCCCUUAGAUGUUCUGGGCUGCACGCGCGCUACACUGAAGGAAUCAGCAUGUUCUCCCCUCCCUGAAAAGGGCGGGUAACCCGUUGAAACUCCUUCGUGAUGGGGAUUGGAGAUUGUAAUUAUUCUCCAUGAACGAGGAAUUCCCAGUAGGCGCGAGUCAUCAGCUUGCGUCGAUUACGUCCCUGCCCUUUGUACACACCGCCCGUCGCUACUACCGAUCGAGUGAUUUAGUGAGGACUUCGGACUGGUCUCCAAGUUGGCUUCGGUCAGCUCGGAGUUCCGGAAAGAUGCCCAAACUUGAUCACUUAGAGGAAGUAAAAGUCGUGACAAGGUUUCCGUAGGUGAACCUGCGGAAG